UACGUAGGGGGCAAGCGUUGUCCGGAUUUACUGGGUGUAAAGGGCGUGCAGCCGGGCUGACAAGUCAGAUGUGAAAUCCCGCGGCUCAACCGCGGAACUGCAUUUGAAACUGUCAGUCUUGAGUACCGGAGAGGUCAUCGGAACUCCUUGUGUAGCGGUGAAAUGCGUAGAUAUAAGGAAGAACACCAGUGGCGAAGGCGGAUGACUGGACGGCAACUGACGGUGAGGCGCGAAAGCGUGGGGAGCAAACAGG
rnacentral:rRNA from 1 species